UUUUGACGCGACAAUAUCGAGCAAAAAUUUCCAACAAGUUUUGCGGUUUUCAUUGAAAAAAAUUGUUUUCGAAAAGGAUAUUGAAGGAAAAUCAUUAAAAAAACUGGUCUAUUGAUUGGAAUCGAAACCAGCUCCAGAUCGGAAUCGAAAUGUCUUGAUUGAUAUCUAACUUUCAAAAAUAGGAAGAUAUUGUUCCUUACGGAAACCUACAUCUAUAUGAAUAAUGAGAUGGGAAUGUGUUAUUAAGCAUAAAAAUAAUCGAAUCGACUAGGCAUUAUUAUAAUACUCAGCACGUUUUGUGCCGGCUCCACCCGCCAUCUACCCACGUGGGCCUGGAGGGGUGAAGCAGCUCGGCCGAUGUUGCGAAGACCAUGUGCGACGAUAAGCUCGUGAGAAACCACCAGCAAAUAUCUAGUUAUGGAACAAAUGAUUAAUUGGACGCUAUCAAAUGAUUAAACUCGCGUGGGACAGUCGAGACUCGAGAGCCCCGCAGCGCCGGAGACGUGACAGAAGCUUUGUCAAUGACAUCUUCUUCAUUACUAUAAAAUAAAAAUAUAUUUCCGUAAUCAAUACAAACCUCGAAAAACCAAAUAAA